rnacentral:rRNA from 1 species
GAUGAACGCUAGCGGCAGGCCUAAUACAUGCAAGUCGAACGAUAGAAGAGGGCUUGCUCUCUUCGAAAGUGGCGCACGGGUGCGUAACGCGUAUGCAACCUACCUUAAUCAGGGGGAUAGCCCGAAGAAAUUCGGAUUAACACCGCAUAAAAUCACAGUACAGCAUUGUACAAUGAUCAAAUAUUUAUAGGAUUAAGAUGGGCAUGCGUGACAUUAGCUAGUUGGCGGGGUAACGGCCCACCAAGGCGACGAUGUCUAGGGGAUCUGAGAGGAUGACCCCCCAAGCUGGUAAUGAGACACGGACCAGACUCCUACGGGAGGCAGCAGUAAGGAAUAUUGGUCAAUGGAGGCAACUCUGAACCAGCCAUGCCGCGUGCAAGAAGACAGCCCUCUGGGUCGUAAACUGCUUUUAUUCGGGAAUAAACCUACUUACGUGUAAGUAGCUGAAUGUACCGAAGGAAUAAGGAUCGGCUAACUCCGUGCCAGCCGCCGCCGUAA